UACGGGGGGGGCAAGCGUUGUUCGGAAUUACUGGGCGUAAAGGGCGCGUAGGCGGUUUGCUAAGUCGAAUGUGAAAACUCUGGGCUUAACCCAGAGCCUGCAUUCGAUACUGGCAGGCUAGAGUUCUGGAGGGGAUAGCGGAAUUCCUGGUGUAGCGGUGAAAUGCGUAGAUAUCAUGAGGAAUACCAGAGGCGAAGGCGGCUACCUGGACAAUUGCUGACGCUCAGGCACGAAAGCGUGGGGAGCAAAAGGG
rnacentral:rRNA from 1 species